rnacentral:rRNA from 1 species
CUAGUAAUCGCGGAUCAGCAUGCCGCGGUGAAUACGUUCUCGGGCCUUGUACACACCGCCCGUCACACCAUGGGAGUCGGUAACACCCGAAGUCUGUAGCCUGACGCAAGAGGGCGCAGCCGAAGGUGGGAUUGAUGACUGGGGUGAAGUCGUAACAAGGUACC